UCCCUGGUGGCUCAGUGGUAAAGAAUCUGCUUGCAGUGCAGGAGACUCAGGUUCAAUCCCUGGGUUGGGAA
rnacentral:tRNA from 1 species